rnacentral:rRNA from 1 species
CCCUUAGAUGUUCUGGGCUGCACGCGCGCUAAACUGAAGCUAUCAACACGUUUUCCCUCCCUGAGAAGGGCGGGUAACCUUUUGAAUCAGCUUCGUGGUAGGGAUCGGGGCUUGCAAUUGUUCCCCGUGAACCAGGAAUUCCUAGUAGACGCGAGUCAUAAGCUCGCAUCGAUUAAGUCCCUGCCCUUUGUACACACCGCCCGUCGCUACUACCGAUUGAACGUUUUAGUGAGGCAUUUGGACCGACGCAUCUCAGUUUAACCGCUGGUUUGUGUUGGAAAGACUUCCAAACUUGAGCGUUUAGAGGAAGUAAAAGUCGUAACA